rnacentral:rRNA from 1 species
GUCGGUGGGGAUUAGUGGCGAACGGGUGAGUAACACGUGGGCAAUCUGCCCUUCACUCUGGGACAAGCCCUGGAAACGGGGUCUAAUACCGGAUAGCACUACCGCAGGCAUCUGUGGUGGUUGAAAGCUCCGGCGGUGAAGGAUGAGCCCGCGGCCUAUCAGCUUGUUGGUGAGGUAAUGGCUCACCAAGGCGACGACGGGUAGCCGGCCUGAGAGGGCGACCGGCCACACUGGGACUGAGACACGGCCCAGACUCCUACGGGAGGCAGCAGUGGGGAAUAUUGCACAAUGGGCGAAAGCCUGAUGCAGCGACGCCGCGUGAGGGAUGACGGCCUUCGGGUUGUAAACCUCUUUCAGCAGGGAAGAAGCGAAAGUGACGGUACCUGCAGAAGAAGCGCCGGCUAACUACGUGCCAGCAGCCGCGGUAAUACGUAGGGCGCAAGCGUUGUCCGGAAUUAUUGGGCGUAAAGAGCUCGUAGGCGGCUUGUCACGUCGGGUGUGAAAGCCCGGGGCUUAACCCCGGGUCUGCAUUCGAUACGGGCUAGCUAGAGUGUGGUAGGGGAGAUCGGAAUUCCUGGUGUAGCGGUGAAAUGCGCAGAUAUCAGGAGGAACACCGGUGGCGAAGGCGGAUCUCUGGGCCAUUACUGACGCUGAGGAGCGAAAGCGUGGGGAGCGAACAGGAUUAGAUACCCUGGUAGUCCACGCCGUAGACGGUGGGAACUAGGUGUUGGCGACAUUCCACGUCGUCGGUGCCGCAGCUAACGCAUUAAGUUCACCGCCUGGGGAGUACGGCCGCAAGGCUAAAACUCCAAGGAAUUGACGAGGGCCCGCACA